GUGGGGAAUUUUGGACAAUGGGCGAAAGCCUGAUCCAGCCAUGCCGCGUGCAGGAUGAAGGCCUUCGGGUUGUAAACUGCUUUUGUACGGAACGAAAAGACUCUGGUUAAUACCUGGGGUCCAUGACGGUACCGUAAGAAUAAGCACCGGCUAACUACGUGCCAGCAGCCGCGGUAAUACGUAGGGUGCAAGCGUUAAUCGGAAUUACUGGGCGUAAAGCGUGCGCAGGCGGUUAUAUAAGACAGAUGUGAAAUCCCCGGGCUCAACCUGGGAACUGCAUUUGUGACUGUAUAGAUAGAGUACGGCAGAGGGGGAUGGAAUUCCGCGUGUAGCAGUGAAAUGCGUAGAUAUGCGGAGGAACACCGAUGGCGAAGGCAAUCCCCUGGGCCUGUACUGACGCUCAUGCACGAAAGCGUGGGGAGCAAACAGGAUUAGAAACCCUGUAGUCC
rnacentral:rRNA from 1 species